GUGCCAGCAGCCGCGGUAAUACGGAGGAUGCGAGCGUUAUCCGGAUUUAUUGGGUUUAAAGGGUGCGUAGGCGGCUUGGUAAGCGUGAGGUGAAACCCCCGAGCUCAACUUGGGACCUGCCUCGCGAACUGUCAGGCUUGAAUAGCCCUGCCGUGGGAGGAAUGAGUAGUGUAGCGGUGACAUGCAUAGAGAUUACUCAGAACACCGAUUGCGAAGGCAUCUCACGAAGGGCCGAUUGACGCUGAGGCACGAAAGCGUGGGGAUCGAACAGGAUUAGAUACCCUGGUAGUCCACGCCGUAAACGAUGAUAACUAACCGCUGGUCUGUUGUAGUUCAGUGGCCAAGCGAAAGCGAUAAGUUAUCCACCUGGGGAGUACGACCGCAAGGUUGAAACUCAAAGGAAUUGACGGGGGCCCGCACAAGCGGAGGAACAUGUGGUUUAAUUCGAUGAUACGCGAGGAACCUUACCCGGGCUCGAACGGCUGGUGAAGAGAUCCAGAGAUGGUGACGUCCUUCGGGACACCAGUCGAGGUGCUGCAUGGUUGUCGUCAGCUCGUGCCGUGAGGUGUCGGCUCAAGUGCCAUAACGAGCGCAACCCUUGUCGUCAGUUACCAGCACGUCAUGGUGGGGACUCUGGCGAGACUGCCACCGCAAGGUGAGAGGAAGGGGGGGAUGACGUCAAAUCAGCACGGCCCUUACGUCCGGGGCGACACACGUGUUACAAUGGGAGUUACAGAGGGGUGCUACCUGGUGACAGGAUGGGAAUCUCGAAAAGCUCUCUCAGUCCGGAUCGGAGUCUGCAACCCGACUCCGUGAAGCUGGAUUCGCUAGUAAUCGCGCAUCAGCCAUGGCGCGGUGAAUACGUUCCCGGGCCUUGUACACACCGCCCGU
rnacentral:rRNA from 1 species